rnacentral:tRNA from 1 species
GGGCGAUUAGCUCAGUUGGUUAGAGCAUCUGCUUUACACGCAGGGGGUCAGGGGUUCAAAUCCUCUAUCGCCCACUA